GAAAUAGGACAAUGGAAUUUUACAAGGAGGGGUGAAAUCCGUAGAACUGUAAAGGAAUGUCAAAAGCGAAGGCAGUUGUCUGGGUCGUUACUGACGCUAAGGAACGAAAGCGUGGGUAUCCAACAGGAUUAGAUACCCUGGUAGUCCACGCCGUAAAUUAUGAGUGCUCAUGCUUAGAUUUUUUAGGCAUUUAGUUAACACGUUAAGCACUCCGCCUGAAGAGUAUAAUCGCAAGAUUGAAACUCAAAGGAAUUGACGGGGGCCAACACAAGUGGUGGAGCAUGUUGUUUAAUGCGAAAAUACGCGCGAAACCUUACCAGUUCUUGACAGUGUGUUAAGUGACGAAAAAAUAGCUUUUUUUGUCCUCUUUAUAGUAAGAAUUUUCACACACAGGUGUUGCAUGGCUGUCGUCAGCUCGUGUUGUGAAAUGUUAGAUUAAUUUCUUAAACGAGCGCAACCCCUACUUUUAGUUGCCAGUGUUUGUUGUUCCAAACAGGAACUCUAAAAGAACUGCUAGUGGAUAAGCUAGAGGAAGGUGGGGAUAACGUCAAGUCCUCAUGGCCCUUAUGAACUGGGCUACAAACGUGCUACAAUGAAAACUACAAAAAGAAGCAAUAGUGUUUAAGCUGGAGCAAAUCUCUAAAAGUUUUCUUAGUUCGGAUUGUGGGCUGAAACUCGCCCACAUGAAGUUGGAAUCACUAGUAAUCGUAGAUCAGCACGCUACGGUGAAUAUGUACCUUGGCCUUGUACACACCGCCCGUCACAUGUUGGGAGUAGUCCCGUUUUAAAGAUUAGAUAAUUGUUUAGCGAUUUAGGGUUCGUUAAGCGUUUCUUUUUUAGGCAGGGGAUUAUAACUGAGAUGAAGUCGUAACAAGGUAGCCGUACGGGAACGUGCGGCUG
rnacentral:rRNA from 1 species